CUCACAGCCGUUUGGGUGAUUAAUGGCAAAAACAGCUUUUGCCAUGCAGUAGAAUCCUGGAGACUCCUGAAGCCAAGGCAGACCUGACAAGACCUGAGAUAACCACUUCGGGAGACAUAAAGGGGGGAAAAAAAUGUCCUAAUAAAGCAGAAGAACUAAUAAUGGACUCAGGAUAUUUGUUCCAAUUGCCCUGAAUUUUGUUUGGAGCACAGCAUCAUCCGAAGAGACAUUUAUGGACUAAGGCAGCUGAAUAUCAGGUCUGCCUGUCAUGUUUCGAUCAAAAUAGAUGGAGAAGGGAAGCAAUGUGAACAAAGGAUAAAAAAGAAGGAUGGAGACAGCACAAGGCAUCAAACAAGACUGUUAUUUCACACCUUUUUUUCCUACUUUUUAUUUACUUUCAGUGGGCUCCUGUCACAAGGCAGCAGGUGUGCUUCGCAAGCAGGGAGAUGCUACGUGCCUUAGCAAAACUGAAGGGGAAGACAUAUUCUAUCACUUUACUUUUAUAUAUCAAAUCUACAGCUGAAUAGAGAAAAUAUAGCUAAAAACAGGCCAGCUUGAAGAUACCCACCCAAAAGCUUUGCAGAACACUGAAAGAAAACAAAGGAAGGACUGAUGUCUGCUGAUGCCCAAGCAGAAGAGAUCAGAGCUGUGAGCAAGGUAAGGGAUCAGAGCAUGAGGGUGGCUCCUCUGGGCCAAUGCACUGUCUAUUGGAAAUGAAUAACAUGAGUAUUUCAGUGGAUGAGGGCAAGGCAGGUGAGUAGCAAUCCAAGCCCAACCAUGUCCUUGCAGCUCCAAUGACUUUGUAGCUUUCUGACCUUGCACUUCACAGUCCACAGUUAUAUUCUCCAUAAUUUUAUUCAACUGCUCUUUCAACCCAUCAGAAAGUUUGGUGCCCAAAACAUCCAAACAUCUGACAAUGAUCUCCAUGGUUUAACAGUACACCAACUGAAGAUACAUAGCCUAUUCUUGCCACAUGAUAUCUCACAUCUGAUGAUUCAUAUUUUAAAAGACAGGCAGCAAAGACAAGAGGGCAUCCACGGAAGGUUAGAAAUGGGGUCUGAAAAGAGC
rnacentral:lncRNA from 1 species